GGGGGAGGAGCCUUCUGAAAAUUGUAUAAAGGCUGAGGGUGCGACGUGUUCACUAUCUGUGGGUGCUUCUUGUCUGCACUGUCAAUAACUGAUUGCUCUCAAUAAAAUCAGUAAAAUUUACCAUGGAUUUUGUCAAAGAAUUUCUUUAUGUGUCUGACCACGCUGGGUUCCUUGAACUGACCACUGAAACAUGGAAGAACAUGUGGUUUCCAUCUCAGAUACCCUUGAGUUCGGAUGUGGCGGGCAUUGCCCAGCUUAAUGAAACAGACAGAGAAUUUUAUAAAUUCUUGUUUGUUUUCUUGGGAUUGGCUGAGAGGCUGGUCAACUUUAACAUCGAGGACCUGGUCAAGGAGUUUAAUUGCCAUGACGCCACUCAUUACUAUGCAGAGCAGAUGGCCAUGGAGAAUAUUCAUGGGAAGGUUUAUGCCAAUAUUCUACAAUUAUUUUUUAAUGGUGACAUGAUGAAGCUGAAGGAGUAUGCAGUAAAGGUGGUGGCUGACCCUACCUUGAAAGCCAAACUUGACUGGCUACAUACCAGGGUCAAGAAUACAAAAACUAGGGCUGAAAAGGUCCUGAUAUUUCUGUUGAUUGAAGGGAUAUUUUUUAUAUCCUCCUUUUACAGCAUCAGUCUCUUCAGAGUGAGGGGGAUGCUUAAUGGGAUCUGUUUGGCCAAUGAUUACAUUUCUAAAGAUGAACUGCUACACACGCGAGCCGCUGCUGUUCUGUACAAUAGUCUAAUACCGGCCAAAGAGCGCCCAGAUGCCGCCUGGAUCAAAAGACUGUUCCAGGAAGCAGUUGAGGUGGAAUAUUCCUUUAUUGCUGCCAAGAGCAAGAACGUGACGCUGGUGGUUCCUGGUGAAAUUAAAAAGUUUUUACAAGCCACCUGUGAUAGAAUUUUGCAGAGUAUUGGGGUGGAGCCAAUCUAUGGCUCCCACGCCCCAGUCACGUGUCCUCUGAGCUACAACGGCUGCAUAAAAAGUGUUAACUUUUUUGAGAGGGAGGGAACUGAUUACUCAACCAAGGUGACUAAUGAUUUGUAAGCAGCGCAGUUUGGAAAGUGAUGUGUGUGCUCUCAUUCCACCCUAUUUAAGAGGGAGACAAACUCUGAGUUGUGCAUCUACUCUUUCUGCUUCUGAGAAGAGCAUUGUUUUAACCCUUUACAAUGCAGACCUUCCAGCUUGACACUGAGCGCCUCUGCCAGGCAGCUAAGCUGUACCAGCACACCAAGUCUGACUUUGGCCUGAAUGGCAUGAUCCAGCUUUCUGGUUCAUGUAAUAAUAUGUCACUAUCUGUACUGGGAUCGAUUGGAGGCUGUGCUAUUCUGAGAUUGGAAUUGUUGGAGGCUGCCCGGCUCCAUUCAUCUAAAGACAGCUCCAAGUCUGCCAUUUACAGCUUUCGUAACGCAAGCUCCCUUGGAAGAGAAUUUACUCAUGGUGGAGAACUCUUUGGCCCCAAAAUGGAAUCUGCCUCCCUGUCUUUUUAUGGCCAUCAUGGAGUGAAAUAUGUGGAGGCACAAUUUGUGCAUGACAGCAGCAGCAAGACUGUACAUACUGCUGCUAUGCAGCCCAUCACCAUACCACCUUCGUGUGCCUUUGAUGAUCGUGAGGCCAAUGGUAUAGUGACAUUGUCAACAAAAACUGCAGCGGCGCUGGUCAAGUGGUUGAAGCAGCAUACAAAAACCUGCCAGUCACCAGUUAAGGUUUCUAUCAGUGAAAUCUUGGGUGUGAUGGUUCUUUCAGUUGGAGAUGCUAGCAUGACUGUUGAUGUCACUCCGGUGAAUGUUUCAUCUGGCAAGAAGACACGGGGUGGGAAUAAGGCUAGUGACUCUGGGACUAUCUCUGCAGACGCAACGGUGCAUGUUAAUGGACAUUGUUUGAUUAGAUCUUUGAUUGUAUGUAAAGUUCCUGGGUGUACAACUCCAAGAGUCAAGUUUCACGCCUGUGGCAUAUUAGAGGUAGAUGGGGCCCCCGUUAAACAGGGCGAGUUGACACAGGUAAAAUUGUCAGUGGCCCUCCUGAACGUGGACUCUUCAACUGGCAGAGUUUUGAAGGAACCUGUGGUGACUGGAGCAAGUAAAGAUCGAGGGGCUUCAAAGUCAGAAGACGCGGACGGUAGCCCUCCAGUACCAGAUCAUCCCAAAGAAUCCCUCACUAGCGACUCUGAUUCCUCAGUUCCUGGGCCACGAAGUACUGACCUUUCCUCUCUUACCCACACCCCUUCAGAUAGAUUUUCGAGCGACCUUAGAUCAGGGUGUGGGGGGCAACAGUUCCUCAAGAGACCACCCCCUAAGAAAGACAGGGAACCCACCACUAAGCGCCCCAAGCUACAUUUUAACCACUUCCCAUAAAUGAAGAGUCAUUGGUCAGACGUGUUCCUCCCACUCAUUGUGGGAGGAAUGUCUGCUGUUCCCUUUAUCUGGUGUUUAAUUUUUAGAACCCUUUACCUACCAAUAGAAUGUGACUGGAGAUGCUGGAUUUUUGUAUAUGGAUCAAUGAUUUGGCACAUAACCAUGUUUAUGUCACUAUUGUUUAAACAUAAACAUGGGAUGAUUGGCUGGUUUAAGUUGUGUAGUGCAGUUGCCAUAUGUCUGAUUAUAGUUUUGGCUCUUUUAGAACAAUACUGCCCAUAUGAGAUGUACAUUGUUCCUGUUAUAUUCAUAAUAAAUAUAGUUUUGCUUUCCA
rnacentral:tmRNA from 1 species